UACAACAUUUGAAUUGCAUAGUAUGAUUGUCUGACGAUGAUCGCUUUCUAACGGGGAUUAGUGGCGAACGGGUGAGUAACACGUGGGCAAUCUGCCCUGCACUCUGGGACAAGCCCUGGAAACGGGGUCUAAUACCGGAUAUGACCGUCCGCCGCAUGGUGGAUGGUGUAAAGCUCCGGCGGUGCAGGAUGAGCCCGCGGCCUCACUCAGCUUGAUUUGGUGAGGUAAUGGCUCACCAAGGCGACGACGGGUAGCCGGCCUGAGAGGGGCGACCGGCCACACUGGGACUGAGACACGGCCCAGACUCCUACGGAAGGCAGCAGUGGGGAAUAUUGCACAAUGGGCGAAAGCCUGAUGCAGCGACGCCGCGUGAGGGAUGACGGCCUUCGGGUGGUAAACCUCUUUCAGCAGGGAAGAAGCGAAAGUGACGGUACCUGCAGAAGAAGCGCCGGCUAACUACGUGCCAGCAGCCGCGGUAAUACGUAGGGCGCAAGCGUUGUCCGGAAUUAUUGGGCGUAAAGAGCUCGUAGGCGGCUUGUCACGUCGGUUGUGAAAGCCCGGGGCUUAACCCCGGGUCUGCAGUCGAUACGGGCAGGCUAGAGUUCGGUAGGGGAGAUCGGAAUUCCUGGUGUAGCGGUGAAAUGCGCAGAUAUCAGGAGGAACACCGGUGGCGAAGGCGGAUCUCUGGGCCGAUACUGACGCUGAGGAGCGAAAGCGUGGGGAGCGAACAGGAUUAGAUACCCUGGUAGUCCACGCCGUAAACGGUGGGCACUAGGUGUGGGCAACAUUCCACGUUGUCCGUGCCGCAGCUAACGCAUUAAGUGCCCCGCCUGGGGAGUACGGCCGCAAGGCUAAAACUCAAAGGAAUUGACGGGGGCCCGCACAAGCGGCGGAGCAUGUGGCUUAAUUUCGACGCAACGCGAAGAACCUUACCAAAGGCUUGACAUACACCGGAAACGUUCUGGAGACAGGGCGCCCCCUUGUGGUCGGUGUACAGGUGGUGCAUGGCUGUCGUCAGCUCGUGUCGUGAGAUGUUGGGUUAAGUCCCGCAACGAGCGCAACCCUUGUCCCGUGUUGCCAGCAGGCCCUUGUGGUGCUGGGGACUCACGGGAGACCGCCGGGGUCAACUCGGAGGAAGGUGGGGACGACGUCAAGUCAUCAUGCCCCUUAAGGUUCUUGGGCUUGCCACAGCGGGCUACAAUGGGCCGAUAACAAUGAGCUGCGAUACCGUGAGGUGGAGCGAAUCUCAAAAAGCCGGUCUCAGUUCGGAUUGGGGUCUGCAACUCGACCCCAUGAAGUCGGAGUCGCUAGUAAUCGCAGAUCAGCAUUGCUGCGGUGAAUACGUUCCCGGGCCUUGUACACACCGCCCGUCACGUCACGAAAGUCGGUAACACCCGAAGCCGGUGGCCCAACCCCUUGUGGGAGGGAGCUUCGAAGAGUAUAUUUUGUGUAUGUCU
rnacentral:rRNA from 1 species